UCUGUGCUCUCUGACUGUCUUCGUCAUCAUGAUAGUGAACUGCACUUCACAGUCAAUAGCACCACUAGAUAACAAAACACAGGUUCAUGCUCUUGAAGAUGAGAGAGUUAUUCUCUCCUGCACGUAUAAUGGUAGAGUGAACAAUCUGCAGUGGUAUCGUCAGUAUCCUGGAUCCAGACCAGAGUUUUUGCUGCUGAAAUAUCCAGGAGCAAGUGGUGUAGUCCCUGCAGACCCUCCUUUCCCUCGACUGGAUGCCAAAGUGAAUGGAAGUAGAGUGAAUCUGUUGAUCUCCUCUGCUGCAGUAUCAGACUCUGCACUCUACUACUGUGCUCUGGAGCCCACAGUGACAGGAAACCCAGCUACACUGUACAAAAACUCACUGCAGGAAGAUGCUUUGCAUUUGGUAAUAGGUCUGAAGUCAGAUGUUGCUCUUGUUAAUGCAGUUGUGUGUGAGUGUGGUAAAAGGCAACCAUGCACAGCAUGAGUACACUCUAAAAAGAGAAAGAUCUCAUGC